AAUUCUCAACUCUCUUAUACUUUGUUGUAAAGGAGGGCUCGGAUUGUGGAGGUUUGCUGGCAACUUGUUGGGGUCAGCUCCUCUGAAAUGCAUUAGCGGAACCGUUUGCGAUCUGCCACAAGUGUGAUAAACUAUCUACACUGGCGAGGGGAUUGCUCUCUGUGUUGUUCAGCUUCUAAUCGUCUCAGUCUGAUGAGACAAUUUUUUGAAU
rnacentral:misc_RNA from 1 species